GCACUUGUAGCUCAGGGGAUAGAGCGGUGGCUUCCGGAGCCACGCGUCGAGGGUUCGAAUCCUUCCAGGUGCA
rnacentral:tRNA from 1 species